rnacentral:snoRNA from 1 species
CCCAGCUGUAGGCAACUACCCAGGAUGCAUUGUACCUAGCAAGUGUUACACUACUGGGAGAAAAAUAGCCAAUAGCUGGUGGACAUU